rnacentral:rRNA from 1 species
GAUGAACGCUGGCGGCGUGCCUAAUACAUGCAAGUCGAGCGAACAGACGAGGAGCUUGCUCCUUUGACGUUAGCGGCGGACGGGUGAGUAACACGUGGGUAACCUACCUAUAAGACUGGGAUAACUUCGGGAAACCGGAGCUAAUACCGGAUAAUAUUUCGAACCGCAUGGUUCGAUAGUGAAAGAUGGCUUUGCUAUCACUUAUAGAUGGACCUGCGCUGAAUUAGCUAGUUGGUAAGGUAACGGCUUACCAAGGCAACGAUGCGUAGCCGACCUGAGAGGGUGAUCGGCCACACUGGAACUGAGACACGGUCCAGACUCCUACGGGAGGCAGCAGUAGGGAAUCUUCCGCAAUGGGCGAAAGCCUGACGGAGCAACGCCGCGUGAGUGAUGAAGGUCUUCGGAUCGUAAAACUCUGUUAUUAGGGAAGAACAUACGUGUAAGUAACUGUGCACGUCUUGACGGUACCUAAUCAGAAAGCCACGGCUAACUACGUG